rnacentral:rRNA from 1 species
CAGAUUUAUCGGUGAUGGAUGGGGAUGCGUCUGAUUAGCUUGUUGGCGGGGUAACGGCCCACCAAGGCAACGAUCAGUAGGGGUUCUGAGAGGAAGGUCCCCCACAUUGGAACUGAGACACGGUCCAAACUCCUACGGGAGGCAGCAGUGAGGAAUAUUGGUCAAUGGGCGAGAGCCUGAACCAGCCAAGUAGCGUGCAGGAAGACGGCCCUAUGGGUUGUAAACUGCUUUUAUAAGGGAAUAAAGUGAGUCUCGUGAGACUUUUUGCAUGUACCUUAUGAAUAAGGACCGGCUAAUUCCGUGCCAGCAGCCGCGGUAAUACGGAAGGUCCGGGCGUUAUCCGGAUUUAUUGGGUUUAAAGGGAGCGUAGGCCGGAGAUUAAGCGUGUUGUGAAAUGUAGACGCUCAACGUCUGCACUGCAGCGCGAACUGGUUUCCUUGAGUACGCACAAAGUGGGCGGAAUUCGUGGUGUAGCGGUGAAAUGCUUAGAUAUCACGAAGAACUCCGAUUGCGAAGGCAGCUCACUGGAGCGCAACUGACGCUGAAGCUCGAAAGUGCGGGUAUCUAACAGGAUUAGAUACCCUGGUAGUCCGCACGGUAAACGAUGGAUGCCCGCCGUUGGUCUGAACAGGUCAGCGGCCAAGCGAAAGCAUUAAGCAUCCCACCUGGGGAGUACGCCGGCAACGGUGAAACUCAAAGGAAUUGACGGGGGCCCGCACAAGCGGAGGAACAUGUGGUUUAAUUCGAUGAUACGCGAGGAACCUUACCCGGGCUUGAAUUGCAGGAAGGAUUUGGAGACAAUGACGCCCUUCGGGGUCUCUGUGAAGGUGCUGCAUGGUUGUCGUCAGCUCGUGCCGUGAGGUGUCGGCUUAAGUGCCAUAACGAGCGCAACCCCUCUCCUUAGUUGCCAUCAGGUUAAGCUGGGCACUCUGGGGACACUGCCACCGUAAGGUGUGAGGAAGGUGGGGAUGACGUCAAAUCAGCACGGCCCUUACGUCCGGGGCUACACACGUGUUACAAUGGCAGGUACAGAGAGACGGUCCCUUGCAAAACGGAUCAAAUCCUUAAAGCCUGUCUCAGUUCGGACUGGGGUCUGCAACCCGACCCCACGAAGCUGGAUUCGCUAGUAAUCGCGCAUCAGCCAUGGCGCGGUGAAUACGUUCCCGGGCCUUGUACACACCGCCCGUCAAGCCAUGAAAGCCGGGGGCGCCUAAAGUCCGUGAC